UCUUCUCUAUAAAUCUUUUAUAUGUUGCUCUAUCUUAGGAAGUUGAGGAUUUUUUGUUGUUUGAGACGUGAUUCAGCCCGUCUUCUAGUGAUUUGUGUCUUGCUUAUUACUAAUCAAAGUUGUCAAGCUGUAAUGCGAGAAGAAGCUCAGGAACAGGAAGGCGGAAGUGCAUAGUGAUGAUUAUCUUUUCAUAAUAUGCAUAUUCAAUACCUCUACCUCUAUUUUCUGGAAAGGCCAUCAAAUGGUUAGAGAAGAAAUUAUUGUCAUGUUUCAAGUGCGAGAGACAUGUUUUCAUCUGUUUGGUUGGAUGGUGGUACUGGGAAUAAGGUAGGAGUCAUGAAAUCUGUUUGGAUGAACAAUUCCAGUUAUUCAAAGACCCACCCAUUUGUAAUAUUUAGUGAAGGA
rnacentral:lncRNA from 1 species